rnacentral:rRNA from 1 species
GCUUUAUAAUGUUAAAAAUUCUAUGUAUUUUAUCUUAUAGAAAUGAGUUUUAAACCAUUUAUUGAGUUGGGGCGACAAAGGUAUAAUUUAAAGUAACUGCCGAUAAAUGUUACAAUUAUGUUUGUGUUAAAUAAUGUAUAGUUGAUCCCUUUUAAGGAUUAGGAGAUCAAGUU